rnacentral:lncRNA from 1 species
CACGAAUUGUCGUGGUCAUGGUGUUGAAAGGUUCAGGCUUUGACGCUGAUGGCUCUACCUCCUUAAGAGACAGACCCACCCCCUGACACAGUCGGGGCAGGCACAGGAAAACUUGCUAAGUCAUCGCAGGACACCCGCCAUGCAUUACACCUGCUGAAGACUCUGGGCAUGCGUAGAACCUCAGUGCACAGGAGGUUCUGUGUUCCUGCCUCAUUGACAGGUGGCCAUGAUGUUACUGCUCAAUCCUGACAAGAAGGUUCCUGGUAUCUAAGACGUAGGACUCGUUUGCAGGGAGAAGACGGCUGUCCUUAGAGGCAACAUUUACUUUUAGCAGCUUUAGGCCUGGCACAGGAAGCAGUCAGAUGAGUUGGACUCUCACAUCUGCCUCCUUCUGCAAAUUCAUCCAGUGCUCCAGAUCCUCGUUUGGUUUCCAGGCUCAGACCCUCUUGGUGGCCAAGCUAGAACCUGGAGAUCGGUCCCCUUACCUUCCCAGUCUCUUCCACCUCUGAUCAGCCAACAGUCUUACUGUACUGCCUUAGCUGACCUUGAACAUCUGGCUCCCAAGAUCUUGCUUCAGCUUCCCAAGUCUAUGGUCCCUAGCUGGCCUGAAAUCCUCAGAAAUCUACCUGCCUCAGCCUCCUGAGUGCUGGGAUUAAAGGCGUGGGGGUGGACUUUGAGGUCUCCUAUGCUCAAGCUACUCUCAGCGAGACAGACCACUUCCUGUUGUCUGACUAUCAAGAUAAAGGGCUCUCAGCCCCAGCACCAUAUCAGCCUGCAUGUCACCAUGUGACACCAUGUGAUAAUGGACUAAACCUCUGAAAAUGUAAG